rnacentral:rRNA from 1 species
AUUGAACGCUGGCGGCAGGCUUAACACAUGCAAGUCGAGCGGGGAAAGGUAGCUUGCUACCUGACCUAGCGGCGGACGGGUGAGUAAUGCUUAGGAAUCUGCCUAUUAGUGGGGGACAACAUUCCGAAAGGAAUGCUAAUACCGCAUACGCCCUACGGUGGAAAGCAGGGGAACUUCGGACCUUGCGCUAAUAGAUGAGCCUAAGUCAGAUUAGCUAGUUGGUGGGGUAAAGGCCUAGCAAGGCGACGAUGUGUAGCGGGUCUGAGAGGAUGAUCCGCCACACUGGGACUGAGACACGGCCCAGACUCCUACGGGAGGCAGCAGUGGGGAAUAUUGGACAAUGGGCGAAAGCCUGAUCCAGCCAUGCCGCGUGUGUGAAGAAGGCCUUUUGGUUGUAAAGCACUUUAAGCGAGGAGGGGGCUACUUGGAUUAAUACUCUAGGAUAGUGGACGUUACUCGCAGAAUAAGCACCGGCUAACUCUGUGCCAGCCGCCGCCGUAAAAC